rnacentral:rRNA from 1 species
GAUGAACGCUGGCGGCGUGCCUAAUACAUGCAAGUCGAGCGAACAGACGAGGAGCUUGCUCCUCUGACGUUAGCGGCGGACGGGUGAGUAACACGUGGAUAACCUACCUAUAAGACUGGGAUAACUUCGGGAAACCGGAGCUAAUACCGGAUAAUAUAUUGAACCGCAUGGUUCAAUAGUGAAAGACGGUUUUGCUGUCACUUAUAGAUGGAUCCGCGCCGCAUUAGCUAGUUGGUAAGGUAACGGCUUACCAAGGCAACGAUGCGUAGCCGACCUGAGAGGGUGAUAGGCCACAAUGGAACUGAGACACGGUCCAGACUCCUACGGGAGGCAGCAGUAGGGAAUCUUCCGCAAAGGGCGAAAGCCUGACGGAGCAACGCCGCGUGAGUGAUGAAGGUCUUCGGAUCGUAAAACUCUGUUAUUAGGGAAGAACAAAUGUGUAAGUAACUAUGCACGUCUUGACGGUACCUAAUCAGAAAGCCACGGCUAACUACGUG